UCGUAGGAUGACCCGGCAGCUUGAUUGCGAUAACGAACGAGACCUUAACCUGCUAAAUAGCCCGGCUGGCCUUGGCUGGUCGCCGGCUUCUUAGAGGGACUAUCGGCGCGAGUCGAUGGAAGUUUGAGGCAAUAACA
rnacentral:rRNA from 1 species